UACUCUGCGGCUCGGCCGCCGCGCCUGAGUUCGGCGAAAGCCUUUCCAGGGCAAGUCUGUCCGUGACCCUCUCGGAGAGUCGCAGUUUCUAAAUCUCUCGAAGUAACGCGGCUUUAGCCAGGAGGUCCCAAGCGUUAGGAUUAAAAAUAAAGAUAAAAGGGGAAUGGGGGGCUGGGGGAGGUGGACCUUGUGUUUGCACCUAGGUGAAACCUUCCUCUGCAGGCGGCGGUGUUUGCUUAGGGUCUCCCGCACCACCUGGAUUGCCCGGAGAGCGAUGUAUGAGCUUGCAAAUUUACACACAGACACACACACACAGGACUCUGCAGAUGAAUCCUUUCCCUCCGCCUACAUCCUGUGUGGUAGUAGUGGGGAUCGAACUUGGGUCCUUGUGCUUGAGCAGCAGCAGCAGCACCAGAAAAAAGAAGAAGAAGAGGAGGAGGAGGAGGAGGAGCAAGAAGAAGAAGGAGGAGAAGAAGAAGAAGAGGAAGAAGAAAGAAGAGGAGGAGGAAGCAGAAGAAGCAACUUUUCAAUUGUGGGCAGAAAUCCCAAGACCAAACUGGUUGUUUCUUCUAGAAAGAUGACUCUUUAAGUUAUUAUCAUUCUCCUUCCAGGGUGCUGUUCAGGGACAGGCCUGGCAAAAUAAAACUGCUACUGGAGAGAUUGUGCCUCUGUUUACUAGGGGUCAUUUUGGUUUGGUGGGGGUUUUUUGGCACUGGAGAUGGGACUUGGGACCCUGUGCUCGCGAGGCAGGCAGCGGAACCACUGAGCUAAAUCCCUGGCCCUGGUUGUUUUGUUUUUGAAACAGAGUCUGGCUGAGUUAUCCAGGCUAGCUUGGAGCUCUCUACACUC
rnacentral:lncRNA from 1 species